AUACUUAGGGUGCAAGCGUUAAUCGGAUUUACUGGGCGUAAAGCGCACGUAGGCGGUAUAUCAAGUUAGGCGUGAAAGCCCCGGGCUCAACCCGGGAACUGCAUUUAAAACUGGCGAACUAGAGUUGAGUAGAGGGGAGUGGAAUUUCAGGUGUAGCGGUGAAAUGCGUAGAGAUCUGAAGGAACACCAGUGGCGAAGGCGACUCCCUGGACUCGAACUGACGCUGAGGUACGAAAGCGUGGGUAGCAAACGGGAUUAGAAACCCCUGUAGUCC
rnacentral:rRNA from 1 species